GAAAAAGCUGUGAACGGAAAGAGUAACUCCGGGAAUUUUUACAGAGAAGGACAGUCACCGGCUGAGAGCUGUCCAAAAAGGAAAGGGUGAAAGUGCGUCCGGGAGCUGACCAGCCUUUUGCAGGAAGGUCCGUAAGCCCGCGUUAAGGGUGUGAGCGGGGGACAAUUGUCCUCAAAUAGAGUGGAACCGCGGAGUGAUAUCUUCGUCUCUAUA
rnacentral:ncRNA from 1 species